rnacentral:miRNA from 14 species
UUGCAGCUGCAAGGGAGUGACUUU